CUUGGUGGCAGAGUGCAUACUUAAGUGUCUGCGUUUGCCUUGAGCUGUCGUCUAGUAUCCUGCCGCUGAAGGCUGUCUCUUUAACAAUGAGCUCGCACUUUCCUUGACGCCUGUCUGGACGUUCGGCGAGCAAGCAGUUUUCCUCGUCCUUUGAGCUGCGUAGGCCUUUCUCGCACGAAAUCCGCGCGGGCCACGGACUCACCAUCAAUAAUUCCGUAGAGCUUCUUUUCCACGGCUGUCAGUUCCUCGCGCGGGGAAAGUCGCAGCUUAAGAGAAUCCGCUGCAGCGGCGUCACAACGCAGUUUGUCCUGACACUGUCAUGGCGGCCUGCCUGUUGGAGGAAGAGAGAUUAGCCGAGUGACACGUCGCUACACGGUGGUUAGCUAAACGCACUGAAGAUGCGAUAGGAUUUUCCAAGCUGCUUGGCCACUAAACGUUGCCAACGAUGUGCAGCUCGCGACGUUCGCGUCUGGUUUCGCCCGCCUUUGCCGCUUUGGCGGCGGGACAGCGGCUGCAUUGCUUUGCAUGCAUUUCGAGAGGAAGAAUGUUUUUUUCUCUUUAUUUAACGGUUGCUCGGAGGCUGUGGCACACUUAUGCUCUGUGCGAUGUGGCGGGGUCAAUAUCUUUAGCUGCAGCGGUCAACAUCUUUAGCUGCAGCGGCCGCGCAUCCACUCCACCUUGAAGUUUCCGCGCCAGCUCCCCGUGACGUCAUAGAUUUUGAUGGCGCCUGACCGAGCCUAAUGAUUUUUAAAAGAUUUAUAGACUGAGCUUAGCAAGAUUCAUGAACUUUAUUGAGCCACACUUGCCUAAAGGCGAAAAGGUACCUUGAAAUUCACAAAAUGAUACUUUGACCUUAAUUUUCUCUUCUAAUAAUUAGCCAAUUGUUGCGAAAUUAACUGUAGAGCUUUGAUAGAAUACUCUAUUGGUAUAAACUGAUUCAGUAUUUCUCUUAACGCCCCGUUAAGAAACCCCAAGCGGUCUAGUUAAUUUCAGAGGCUAUCACUACGGUCUCUCUCGCAACCGUGGUAGCUUUUUGAGGUCAUGCCCACGUAGCGAUCAAACUUAUUACACGUUGUCCUGCUGCACCGUAAAUAUAUUCAGGUAUUAACUGUAUAUUGUUCCCCACUAAGGCGUAUUCUUUCAGGCGUGAACUGCUCGACUUUCAGAAUUAUUUCGCCAUACUUUCGUACAAGCUGCGAGAAUCAAGAUGUAUGCACCUCGGCCGUCACGCCACAUUUGACGUCACAAGCAGCUCGUUGUGUCGUGUGUGAGCGACAUUUAUUGUGUAACGGAUGAUGUAUGUGCUUUGAGCACGUCACGAAAGAAAACCGAUAGCCCGUACGUUUCACUUUCAACUGUUGUCCCGGAUGGCGCCUGUGCAAUCAUUUUCUGCAAGGCAUGAUUUCGAAAGGGAGCAUCGGUCUUACUAGAUAACGUCGCAGUCAGAACGCCCAGACUUUCCGUUAUCAAGGAUGUGCUGGUGCGAGGUGGCUGGUGGCUAAAAGAGAGAGAGAAAAAAAUAUUUCGCAGCUGUCCCACGCGGGUUACAAGAUGGGGCGGAAUGUGUUCAGGUUGGGAGGGUAUGUGACGUCAGGAGAAGUUCUCUUGACGAGUUCAUAACACCAAAGCCCAAACACCGUUCCACAUCAGGGAAAAUUAAAAGAUUUUGUUCAUCUUUAUUUGUGGCCAUGCAGAGUACAUUCGUAAAUAUUUUAAAAACAGUGACACUUUUUUAAGGGAAGUUAGCGUAGUGAUUAAAUAGGUAUUGGUUUUCUGAAUUACCCCCAACUGAAAACUCUCUCCAGCAUAUAUCAAAAUCGCUACUCUGGGCUUUGCAUUAAGUUACUCGCGCACGUAAAUAAGAAUUCAAAGGUAUCACACUCGCCCUAUCAAAAUGAUGCGUUGUGCUUUGUUAGGUUCGAAAGUACGAAAAACCGUGCGUUAGAACGCUUCUGGCCGCACCUCCUUGUUCAUUCUCCAUACACUACAUGCAGAACGCACAUUGGAUUAUUUUCUAUGUAGUAUUGAUGUCUCCGGGAAAUGUAUCAUGAAAAGCAGAGUAUAUGGCAUUUCGGCGAGCGCCGUACAGUCUAUAUACGCACUGCGCGGCUUCAGACAGCGCGGUAUCCUCUUCGUGCAGCUCGCUCGCUCAGCUCAGCGUCGUUGAGCAGUGCAGGCUUUCACGGCGCAGCUGUGACAACUGCGCUUCCACGUGUCUUCGUGGAAGAGGAAGCCUCGGCGCGUCACGCUACGUAUAAUGCAGCGCUGGGUCCAAACGUGUGAGCGGCCUUGCGCGACACGAAGGCAGCACACGGGCAUAAUCGCUUUGCAAGCCGGUCCUUAUUACUGACUCCAGGCAUGUUGCGAACGUGGAAAACCAUCUUUCGGUAAAAGCGAAUAGCUUUAUUUCUCCCUUUUGGCCGUUAUCGUGGUUGGUCGGACUCGGCAAGGAAGGAAAACGUUCGUUUCGUUUCGUUCGUUUCGUUCAAUCCGCUUACAUUGACAAUUAUCGUCGAUGGUUUCUGCACAAUUUUUUGUUUAGUAUGCCGGUUAGAUGGCCAGAAGGCAAGACCUCCAUGUACUUGUACAAGGUAAACCAUCUCCUCGUGAUGUUUGAUAUACAUAUUGGCCGAUAUAUUGGAAAUAUUGGCCAAUUCUUGAAAUGCUCAAAGUAAAAAGAAUGAGCUCUGUGUACUCAAAAUAUAAUUUCUUUCGCUCAUUCGCAUCUGUAUACACUGCGCAAGCUUCACUUUCAGCUGUGCGGUGCACUUGCAACCAACCUGCGGCAGCUGCGCAGGCAGGCCACAAUUGACGUUGGCUCGAGCGCUCGACAGAGCGGUAUCAGGAAAACCCGGUUUGCAUGACAAGGAAAAAAGAAAAAGAGUUGGGAAGAACUGGCGUUUUGAGAAACGAUGCGUUGCGGUAUAGCGUGAUUUCGCGUGCGAGGAUGCGCGUUGCGUUGCCUGUGGUAAGCCGGUGCUUGCCGCGUACACUUCACAGUCGUCCCGUGAAAUGCGUGGAGUACUUCCUCGUGAAUUAUCAGCUGGCUUUCUUGCGUCACGCGGGUGGAGGCACAC